rnacentral:lncRNA from 1 species
CCUUCAGUUUUGCUAAAAGCAAAAAAAAAAAAAAAAAAUCACCUAAUCAACAAAAGUAUUUACUGCUCAUCAGACUUACUAACUACACCAUAUCAACAUCCAUAUUUCAAAUUGGAUCAUUAUACUUACAUUGUGGGGACAGCGUACUGCAGAUGAUGAAGAUGAUUUGGCGGUGCUUUUAUUCUAGUGUGAAAAAAAGCCCCCAUGAAAGGCUAGCAGACAGAGGACAGCCUCAUGUCACAGGUCUGCUUUGAGGAGGAACACACGUGGGAAAUGGAGAUCUGGAAAUCCUGUCUCCAAUUUUCCCUGUGCCCACGUGCCCUGCGCAGUCUCUGUGUGCCCCGAGAUGUGCUCCAAUGUGAAGGCCACUGGCUAAGAAGUCUAUGCGUAUAAAAAUACACAAUUAAGCAUUGAGGGGCAGUGACGGUGGUGGGGGGGAGGCAAGCAGGGGGAGUGGGGCUGAGGCGUGCGGCCUGGCUUGGGGCUGGUGGUGGAUCUCGUUGGGUGCCGGGCCCAGACGGUGCCGGGGUGGGGCUGUUUCGGGGACGAGGACCCAGCCGGCCUAGGCCGGCAGCGGGUGGGCGGGGUGGGGCUGCCCCAUCGCCCGGCCGAGCGUCCGCGCUGCGGCGGGAGGGGGAGGACGCGCAUGCGCGGACGCACAGACGGGAGGACGCCGGACCCCGGACCCCGCCCAGAGCGUGUGGAUGCUGGCGGGAACCUGGCGCUUCUGGGUCAGCUACCUGAGGAGGAACCGGCCUGGGGUCUGGGCUGUCGCUUGCCGUCGCCUCCGGUAUGGCCGCCGGGCAGGGCUUGCAAGGAGAGAAAGCUGAAGAAACUGGAGAAGUGCAGAGGGAAGAAAAGGAAAGAGAAUGAACAAGAGAAGAAUGAUUUCUGGCACCCAAGGCACACAGAGCUGCCUGGCCUUUGGGUACAGCAUGAAGACUUCUGCAGCUCUGACUUCUGAACAUUCUGGAGUGGUUACUUUGCAUUUAAAAGUGCAAAUAUGACUCAAUAACAUGAAAUUGUUUUGUGUAGUUGAAUAUUAUGUAUGUUAGUUAUUUCUUCCAUUCUCUCUCCCUUGAACACUUCCACUCCUCUUCAGAUGUGCUAUCUGUGCUCUU